rnacentral:rRNA from 1 species
AGAGUUUGAUCCUGGCUCAGAUUGAACGCUGGCGGCAUGCUUAAUACAUGCAAGUCGAACGGUAACAGAUUCUUCGGAAUGCUGACGAGUGGCGGACGGGUGAGUAAUACAUAGGAAUCUGCCCAUGUAGUGGGGGACAACUUGGGGAAACUCAAGCUAAUACCGCAUAAUUCCUACGGGAUAAAGAGGGCCACUGCUUGCAAGCUCUUGCUACUGGAUGAGCCUAUGUCGGAUUAGUUAGUUGGUAAGGUAAUGGCUUACCAAGACAGCGAUCCGUAGCUGGUUUGAGAGGAUGAUCAGCCACACUGGGACUGAGACACGGCCCAGACUCCUACGGGAGGCAGCAGUAGGGAGUAUUGGACAAUGGGCGCAAGCCUGAUCCAGCAAUGCCGCGUGUGUGAAGAAGGCCUGCGGGUUGUAAAGCACUUUCAAUUGGGAAGAAAGAUUAUGAGUUAAUACCUUAUAAUAUUGACGU